rnacentral:rRNA from 1 species
UACGUAGGGGGCAAGCGUUGUCCGGAUUUAUUGGGCGUAAAGAGCGUGUAGGCGGCCAUACAGGUCCGUUGUGAAAACUGGAGGCUUAACCUCCAGACGUCGAUGGAAACCGUAUGGCUAGAGUCCGGAAGAGGAGAGUGGAAUUCCUGGUGUAGCGGUGAAAUGCGUAGAUAUCUGGAGGAAUACCGGUGGCGAAGGCGGCAUCCUGGACCGGCAUUGACGCUGAGGAGCGAAGGCCAGGGGAGCAAACGGG